rnacentral:rRNA from 1 species
GACGAACGCUGGCGGCGUGCUUAACACAUGCAAGUCGAACGAAGUGGCGAACGGGUGAGUAACGCGUAAUCAACCUGCCCUUCAGAGGGGGACAACAGUUGGAAACGACUGCUAAUACCGCAUACUGAAGGAGGGGAUUGCGUCUGAUGUGCUAGUUGGAGGGGUAACGGCCCACCAAGGCGAUGGUCAGUAGCCGGGCUGGGAGGAGGAACGGCAACAUUGGGACUGGGACACGGCCCAGACUCCUACGGGAGGCAGGAGGGGGGAAUCGUCCGAAAUGGACGAAAGUCUGACGGAGCAACGCCGCGGGAGUGAUGACGGCCUUCGGGUUGUAAAGCUCCUUUAAUCGGGACGCGGUACCGGAAUAGAAAGCCACGGCUAACUACGUGCCAGCAGCCGCGGUAAUAC